AUUUUACUGUUGUACGACCAGAAAUUAAGCUCGUAUAUAUUUCCGAAUUGCUUGCUUUUUAUUAGGGGCUAAGUUUAUCUCUUGCUCUCAAAAACAAAAUGUAUAAACGUGGAGGUCACAUGCGUCGUGGUGUAGCUUCACAAAGAAGACCAGGCCCUUCCCCUUCCUCGUCCUCGUCCCCGUCCCUUUCCUCUUCCCCUGCCCUUUCAUCUAACCCUCAACCAGUACAUGCUGAUGGACACAUUGGCCCUUCCUCCGACCCUCAAAUGCAAACUGAAUCUACUUCAGUUCCAUCGCCUUCGGUUCUACCUUCUUCUUCAAUGCAACACUCGAAUGAUGAAGAAGAUAGCCGAUUCAUGAUAUCCCCAUUUGGAUAUUCAUUCACGGAUGCUACGUAUGUUGUGAGGAAACUUAAUAAAACAAUCAAUAACUGUUGGAUGGGGCAGUAUAGUAGUUGGACCACCGCUCCAAAAGAAGUAAAGGAACUGUGGUGGAAUGAGUUCAAGAUAAGUUUUGUCCUUCUAUUUUCGCACAAACUAAGUUCGAUUUAGCAUACUGAGUGUACAAUCGUUUUUCUAUUGAUUGCUUACAGCAGAAGUUCAGGUGAGAUGAAGCGGAAGAGAAAGAAGUUAGAAGAAUUUUUAAGAAAAAAGCCAGUGAUCACAUGCGAAAUGUGAUGAAUAGAGCAAAGAAAAGUCAAGAAAAGCCGGAUUUUAUUACAGCUGACAAUUGGGCAGAAAUUAAGAGAACUUGAGACACCGAAAAGCAUAAGCAAAUCAGUGAAAUAAAUAAGAAGAAUCGAGCUUCUAGUUCUAGUGAAGGGUCUGCCAUAUAUGCUGGGGGCUCUAUCAACAUCGGGGAGCGUAGAAAAAGAAUGGCAGAUGAAUUGGGGACGGAACCGAUAUUUAUAGCUACAUUUGAAUGCACAUUUCAGAAAAAAGAUAAGACAUGGACUGGCAAUCGAGCAAAAGCUAUUAAGGUAUGUAAGGUUAUAUUUUAUAUUUAUAUAUAUGAAGUUUUUUUUUUAUCUAUAUUAUUAAUGUAGGACAAAUAUGAUGAACUUGUAAUGAGCACU